rnacentral:rRNA from 1 species
GUGGAGGGGGCGGGGUGCUAUACAUGCAAGUCGAGCGAAUGAUGAGGAGCUUGCUCCUCUGAUUUAGCGGCGGACGGGUGAGUAACACGUGGGUAAUCUGCCUGUAAGACGGGGAUAACUCCGGGAAACCGGGGCUAAUACCGGAUAAUAAGAGAAGAAGCAUUUCUUCUUUUUGAAAGUCGGUUUCGGCUGACACUUACAGAUGAGCCCGCGGCGCAUUAGCUAGUUGGUGAGGUAACGGCUCACCAAGGCGACGAUGCGUAGCCGACCUGAGAGGGUGAUCGGCCACACUGGGACUGAGACACGGCCCAGACUCCUACGGGAGGCAGCAGUAGGGAAUCUUCGGCAAUGGGCGAAAGCCUGACCGAGCAACGCCGCGUGAGCGAUGAAGGCCUUCGGGUCGUAAAGCUCUGUUGUUAGAGAAGAACAAGUACGAGAGUAACUGCUCGUACCUUGACGGUACCUAACCAGAAAGCCACGGCUAACUACGUGCCAGCAGCCGCGGUAAUACGUAGGUGGCAAGCGUUAUCCGGAAUUAUUGGGCGUAAAGCGCGCGCAGGCGGUCUCUUAAGUCUGAUGUGAAAGCCCACGGCUCAACCGUGGAGGGUCAUUGGAAACUGGGAGACUUGAGUGCAGGAGAGAAAAGUGGAAUUCCACGUGUAGCGGUGAAAUGCGUAGAGAUGUGGAGGAACACCAGUGGCGAAGGCGGCUUUUUGGCCUGUAACUGACGCUGAGGCGCGAAAGCGUGGGGAGCAAACAGGAUUAGAUACCCUGGUAGUCCACGCCGUAAACGAUGAGUGCUAGGUGUUGGGGGGUUCCACCCUCAGUGCUGAAGUUAACACAUUAAGCACUCCGCCUGGGGAGUACGACCGCAAGGUUGAAACUCAAAGGAAUUGACGGGGGCCCGCACAAGCAGUGGAGCAUGUGGUUUAAUUCGAAGCAACGCGAAGAACCUUACCAGGUCUUGACAUCCUCUGAUCACUCUAGAGAUAGAGCUUUCCCCUUCGGGGGACAGAGUGACAGGUGUGCAUGGUGUCGUCAGCUCGUGUCGUGAGAUGUUGGGUUAAGUUCCCGCAACGAGCGCAACCCUUUGACCUUAGUUGCCAGCAUUCAGUUGGGCACUCCUA